CCUACGGGAGGCAGCAGUGGGGAAUAUUGGGCAAUGGAGGAAACUCUGACCCAGCAAUGCCGCGUGAAUGAAGAAGGUCUUCGGAUUGUAAAGUUCUUUAGUCAGGGAAGAAGUCAAUGACGGUACCUGAAGAAUAAGCUCCGGCUAACUACGUGCCAGCCGCCGCGGUACUACGUAGGGAGCAAGCGUUGUUCGUAAUGACUGGGCGUAAAGGGGGCGUAGGCGGUUGUACAAGUUAGAAGUGAAAUACCCAGGGCUUAACUCGGGGGCUGCUCCUCAAACUGUAUGACUGGAGUGCAGGAGGGGUUAGUGGAAUUCCUAGUGUAGCGGUGGAAUGCGUAGAUAUUAGGAGGAACACCAGAGGCGAAGGCGGCUAACUGGACUGCAACUGACGCUGAGGCACGAAAGUGUGGGGAGCAAACAGGAUUAGAUACCCCUGUAGUC
rnacentral:rRNA from 1 species